rnacentral:rRNA from 1 species
GAUCAUGGCUCAGGAUGAACGCUAGCUACAGGCUUAACACAUGCAAGUCGAGGGGAAACGACAUCGAAAGCUUGCUUUUGAUGGGCGUCGACCGGCGCACGGGUGAGUAACGCGUAUCCAACCUGCCUUAUACUCGGGGAUAGCCUUUCGAAAGAAAGAUUAAUACCCGAUGUUAUAGUCUAACCGCAUGAUUUGACUAUAAAAGAUUUUCGGUAUAAGAUGGGGAUGCGUUCCAUUAGAUUGUAGGCGGGG